UACGUAGGGGGCAAGCGUUGUCCGGAAUUAUUGGGCGUAAAGGGCUCGUAGGCGGUUUGUCACGUCGGGAGUGAAAACUCGGGGCUUAACCCCGAGCCUGCUUCCGAUACGGGCAGACUAGAGGUAUGCAGGGGAGAACGGAAUUCCUGGUGUAGCGGUGAAAUGCGCAGAUAUCAGGAGGAACACCGGUGGCGAAGGCGGUUCUCUGGGCAUUACCUGACGCUGAGGAGCGAAAGUGUGGGGAGCGAACAGG
rnacentral:rRNA from 1 species